rnacentral:lncRNA from 1 species
AAAUGAUCUUCUUAUGGGCUCUGACAGUGGACUCAUCUCUGUGCUUGUCCUGCUAGUGUUGACCAUGUGUUCGAUACUGUUGACCAUAAUAUUCUAUUCUUAGAUUAUUUAAAAGUAAAACUGGAGGCAGAGCCUUCAGUUUUCAGGCCCCUCUUCUGUGGAACCAGCUUCCAGUUUGGAUUCAGGAGACAGACACUAAUCCUAACUUAAGAUUAGUCUUAAAACUUUCCUUUUUGGUAAAGCAUAUAGUUAGGGCCUUAGUUAUGCUGCAAUAGACGUAGGCUGCCGGGGGGAUUCCCAUGAUGCAUAGAGUUUUUCCUUUCAGUCACCUUUUUCACUCUCUAUGUGUUAAUAGACCUCUCUGCAUUGAAUCAUACCUGUUAUUAAUCUCUGUCUCUCUUCCACAGCAUGUCUUUAUCCUGUUUUCCUUCUCUCACCCCAACCGGUCGCAGCAGAUGGCCGCCCCUCCCUGAGCCUGGUUCUGCCAGAGGUUUCUUCCUGUUAAAAGGGAGUUUUUCCUUCCCACUGUCGCCAAAGUGCUUGCUCAUAGGGGGUCAUAUGAUUGUCAGCUUUUAUAAGGACCUUUUUAAGAGUGAUUUCUCAGAAAAUCCCAGUUUGUGCAAUAGCUUCUUCAAGGGACUCCCUCAGGUGGCGGCUCCAGCCAAUCGAAAACUGGAGGUUCAGCCAACUUUGCAUGAACUUCAUACUGCUCUGAUGACUUUUCAGAAUGGUAGAACUCCUGGCAUGGAUGGUCUUCCUGUUGAGUUCUACAAAGCCUUUUGGUCUGUGAUGGGUGAGGAUUUGCUGGAGGUUGUCACAGAUAGUCUGCAGAGAGGCUUGCUGCCUCUGAGCUGUAGAAGGGCGAUCAUCACUCUCAAGGUCAAGGUGCUUUACACUUGUCCUCUCCCAGCAUUCAGCACUUCAGACACUCAACACCCCACCCAGACGACAGCCUUACCCCGACCUGAUGAGAAGGAUGGAUGACCAAAGGACAAACUGGAGAGUGGAGCUGUUUUCCAACUAUGUAAGCUAUCACCUCACAUUGACUACAAACUGUCUUGAAGACUAAAUUCUUCCAGUAGUUGGUAUAAGUCAUGGUUCGAUGUCAGCAGCACUGUAGGUUUAAGUUUAUUUAUAGUUUUCAUGUGUGUAUGUUGGAUUUAAAAUUGCGUUUUAACAACAUACUGCAACUACCAACAAUGAAAAUCUGUUGUGUGUUAAAAUGACAACUUUCUUGUGUUAUUGCUUUGCAGGGCAGUGUCUUUAGCAAUCCUGGAACAGCUGAGAGUGGACAGAGCUGCACAGAGGACCAAAGAUCCACUCUCAGCACUUUAUAUCUGACCGGCCCCAGCACCACCCCUCUUCACCCAACGUGAGGAGGGACCUGACCCCGCCUGCACAGAGGGAGUUGUGGACAUCAUUUCUGUGUCACUGGGUUUAGGAACCUUCUCACACACACACACGGAUGAACACUGUCACUGGAAGAUGUCUCCAUUGCAUCAGCAGGAUGUAAGCAUUUAUACAAUAUUGCAGUUUGUGAUGUUUUAUACAUGUUUUUAUCUCUUCAUUUAAAACUAGGAGAUAUAAAAUAAACCAAUUUUCAUAAUAUUUUCUGUGUAUUUCUUUUAUAAUAAGU